AAACUAAAUCUUUUGUUCACCAGCUGCUCAGCUUUUCAGUCUGGGUCUGAGCUGAAACCUGCUGCAAGUCUGACGGUACCAAAUUACAUAUAUAUCUGUCAAAAUGAUGUAGGACCUAAAGUCUCUCUGUAAGUUGAUCCUUUUGACCCCAUGAUUAGGAGCUUCACAAUGUGGUACCACACCUGGAAACCUCCAGAACAAGAUCUCAAGGAAACACAGGAAAUUCCUGAAACAGCAAAACCCCCUAUGUGAAGACGUCUGUUAUUCCUUUGUGUAUCAGGAGCAUCACUGUUAAUUAACUGUUGAUACACUUAAAACAGCUUGGUUGGCAAUGUCCUUUUUGAAUAAAGAAGAGCCAGGUGUGUUUUUCAGGAUGAACUAGACAAUGCUGUCACAAGUUUACCUCUACAUCUUAUUGCCUUGGAAAAAUUUCCUGCAUAUCGUGGCACAAGAUGGUUGGCUCUCCAGGCAGCAGUUGGCGUUGUGAAUCAGUCAUCUCAGCAUGUGUCUCCAAGAUCCCACAGCAGGGGGAAAAAGAGGUGGAGGGUCACAUGCCUGGUGUUACAUACUUUGAGGCAGAGGUGGUAGGUGCCAUUUCUGCUCACAGCUCAUGGACCAGAACAAAGCCAUGCAUACCUGAGAGAGGACCAGAAAAUAUUCUGAAGCAGAUGGCUAUUUGGUCCGUGUUCUGACUAAAAGGAAGCCACACUCUGUCGAAAACAAGCUUUGUAAGAAAAUUUUGAAGUAUUUACUUAUAUCUAACCAUUCAUUCCACCUUUUCUCCCAAAUAACACUCUAAUAUCUUGAGACAUCUUGUCUAGGGCCAGAUUUCAUAAAUGCUUGUGAGGCAGGAGAAUAAGUUCCAGAGGCAGUUCACACUGCCUAAAGCCAAUUCACACUGACUUCCUAUAACUAAAUCUAAAGGAAAAUCUCAACUUUCCUCGCCCAAGUAACAAAAGAAUCAGAGGUUAUACUCCCUUUGCAACCUGCCCCUUUUCUGCCUGGCAGAUGAAAAAUGAAAAGUACCUAUGACUGGUCCCCUCCCACGACCAGCCAGACUGGUCACGGAUCACUACUUCAUUUACAUAGGGCGUAAACCGAGUAACCAAUGGGAAACCUCUAGAGGGUAUUUAAACCCCAGAAAAUUCUGUAACCGGUGGUCUCCAGCAGGUUGCUCAAUCUUGCUGCCACUCUGUGGGAUGUACUUUUGUUUCAAUAAAUCUGUGCUCUUC
rnacentral:lncRNA from 1 species